rnacentral:tRNA from 1 species
GUCAGGAUGGCCGAGCGGUCUAAGGCGCCAGACUCAAGAGUAAUCUUACCUCAGUUGCUGGGGUUGUGAGCGUUCUGGUCCUCUCUGAGGGCGUGGGUUCAAAUCCCACUUCUGACA